rnacentral:rRNA from 1 species
UCGGGAAUAUUGCACAAUGGAGGAAACUCUGAUGCAGUGACGCCGCGUGCAGGAAGAAGGUUUUCGGAUUGUAAACUGCUUUAGACAGGGAAGAAACAAGACAGUACCUGUAGAAUAAGCUCCGGCUAACUACGUGCCAGCAGCCGCGGUAAUACGUAGGGAGCAAGCGUUAUCCGGAUUUAUUGGGUGUAAAGGGUGCGUAGACGGGAGUCUAAGUUAGUUGUGAAAUCCCUCGGCUUAACCGAGGAACUGCAACUAAAACUGCAAAUCUUGAGUGAGGUAGAGGCAGGCGGAAUUCCUAGUGUAGCGGUGAAAUGCGUAGAUAUUACACAGAACACCUAUUGCGAAGGCAGCUGACAAAACCAUUAUUGACGCUGAGGCACGAAAGUGUGGGGAUCAAACA